AACAUUGCCUUAUGACUAAUAAUAUAAGGUACAUCCUGCCCAGUGAAUAUUUAAACGGCCGCGGUACCCUGACCGUGCUAAGGUAGCAUAAUAAUUUGCCUCUUAAUUAGAGGCUAGAAUGAAUGGACAAACGUAAAUAUUUCUGUUUCUUAUAAACAAAUAAAAAUUUAUUAUUAGGUGAAAAAGCCUAAAUUAUACUAAAAGACAAAAAGACCCUGCAGAGCUUAAUAUUACUCUUCAUAAUUAGAAUAAAAAUAUUUUGUUGGGGCGACAAAGGAUAAUACAAAUCAUCCUCAAUUAAUAAGGAAUACUCUCCUAUCAAAAGAUCCUUAUUUGAUCAAAGACUAAAGCUACCUCAGGGAUAACAGGCUUAUCUUUCUCAAGAGUUCAUAUCAACAGAAAGUUUUGGCACCUCGAUGUUGGCUUAGAGUUCCAAAUGAUGCAGCAGUUAUUUAUGGUAGGUUUGUUCAACCUUUAAAACUCUACGUGAUCU
rnacentral:rRNA from 1 species